rnacentral:rRNA from 1 species
GAUAAGGAGCUUGCUCCUUUGACGUUAGCGGCGGAGGGAGAGUAACACGUGGAUAACCUACCUAUAAGACUGGGAUAACUUCGGGAAACCGGAGCUAAUACCGGAUAACAUAUUGAACCGCAUGGUUCAAUAGUGAAAGGCGGCUUUGCUGUCACUUAUAGAUGGAUCCGCGCCGUAUUAGCUAGUUGGUAAGGUAACGGCUUACCAAGGCAACGAUACGUAGCCGACCUGAGAGGGUGAUCGGCCACACUGGAACUGAGACACGGUCCAGACUCCUACGGGAGGCAGCAGUAGGGAAUCUUCCGCAAUGGGCGAAAGCCUGACGGAGCAACGCCGCGUGAGUGAUGAAGGUCUUCGGAUCGUAAAUCUCUGUUAUCAGGGAAGAACAAAUGUGUAAGUAACUGUGCACAUCUUGACGGUACCUGAUCAGAAAGCCACGGCUAACUACGUGCCAGCAGCCGCGGUAAUACGUAGGUGGCAAGCGUUAUCCGGAAUUAUUGGGCGUAAAGCGCGCGUAGGCGGUUUUUUAAGUCUGAUGUGAAAGCCCACGGCUCAACCGUGGAGGGUCAUUGGAAACUGGAAAACUUGAGUGCAGAAGAGGAAAGUGGAAUUCCAUGUGUAGCGGUGAAAUGCGCAGAGAUAUGGAGGAACACCAGUGGCGAAGGCGACUUUCUGGUCUGUAACUGACGCUGAUGUGCGAAAGCGUGGGGAUCAAACAGGAUUAGAUACCCUGGUAGUCCACGCCGUAAACGAUGAGUGCUAAGUGUUAGGGGGUUUCCGCCCCUUAGUGCUGCAGCUAACGCAUU